UAGAGAGCUAUUGAUGGCAGUAAGAGUUGGUGACUAAAAUGGCAAGGUUCGUGCUUGGAGGGUGGUUGAAAAAUUGUCUCAACAAAAUCCCUUGUGAUUUGAAGGAGCUAAUGCACAGAUUCUUCUGCAACAUUUUUGUAGUAUGUUUUAACUGGCAGUACUCAGUUCUAGCCAUCACGGGGGUUGAACAUCUAAAAUGUUGGCUCAACUGAGGGAAGAGUUGGUGUCCAUCAUUUGGAUUUGGAUGAUUCUCAGCAAGAGAAAAACUUCACCUUCAAAUGUAUAGAAUUCUUGUUGCGAUUGAAGCAACGAUGGGUUGAGCUGAAAAUGGACUGAUUAGAUGUAUGUUAGGUGUUAUAGGGAAGGAUUUGGAAGGAUUUGUGUUUGCUUAUUGUAAUACUUGUGUUUGAUCUUUGUAAUUUGUCCUAAAUUAACUUAAUUAAAAUUUGA